AAACAUCGCCUCUUGUCAUAAUAUAAGAGGUCCCGCCUGCCCUGUGACACAAUGUUUAACGGCCGCGGUAUUCUGACCGUGUGAAGGUAGCGUAAUCACUUGUUUUUUAAAUGAAGACCCGUAUGAAUGGCAUAACGAGGGCUUAACUGUCUCGUUCUUUUAGUCAAUGAAAUUGAUUUCCUCGUGCAGAAGCGAGAAUAAGCACAUAAGACGAAAAGACCCUGUGGAGCUUUAGGCCACAAUAGUUUAGACUCAACAUAAGCUUCUAACCCUAUCUACGCCUUCGGUUGGGGUGACCGCGGAGAAAAAAAUACCCUCCAUAAGAAUACAUCCAUCUUUACAGCUGAGAGCCACACCUCAAAGCUUUAGAAACCUCUAAUCUUUUGAUCCGGUUCGCCGAUUAAUGAAACAAGUUACCCCAGGGAUAACAGCGCAAUCCCCUUUUAGAGUCCCUAUCGCCAAGGGGGUUUACGACCUCGAUGUUGGAUCAGGACAUCCUAAUGGCGCAGCAGUUAUUAAGGGUUCGUUUGUUCAACGAUUAAAGUCCUACGUGA
rnacentral:rRNA from 1 species